UGGAGGUGGAGCCAUUUUGAACGGAGCCACCUACUCGUGUAGCACCUAGGGAAUGGAAGUCCGGUAUGUUUUUAUAGAUAAAAGGGGAAAAUGGGUGCCCGACAAGUUGGCGUCGUUUUUCUGUGAAAGAUCAAACUUUGUUUCGUAGACAUGAAAUCUCACGUGUUCCUGUCAAGUCGUUGCUUUUCGAAUUGCUCCAGCAGCUCAACCCGUGCAAUUGUUUGGACCAGUGGCUAUUGAUAAACUCGCUGUAAGUUAUCCAACAGUUAGCUAAAAGCAUAGUGCUAGCUUAGCACAGUCACAGCCGGAGGCCCGCUGGGUCCCCUGUUUAGCUCGCGUGUAGGGGGCUAACUACCUCUUUAAAUGUUUGCAAAGGAAACCCGACUAAAGGAAACCAAGCUGCCACGCGUCGCCCUCACUGAAGGAAUAUGUGUGAUCCCUGGCUGACUUUUGCACUCGUUUGGGGAACUUUCUGCACAGGGCUCAGUCAGGGGGAAGUGGAGACUCGGGAGUGUGUGUUCUACAAUGAUAACUGGCGGACGGAGCGAACCAAUCAGAGCGGGCUGGAGCGCUGUGAGGGCGAGAAGGACAAACGGCUGCACUGCUACGCCUCCUGGCUCAACUCCUCCGGAACCAUCCGCCUCGUCAAGAAGGGCUGCUGGCUCGACGACUUCAACUGCUACGACAGGCAGGAAUGCGUGGCUACGGAGGAGAACCCCCAGGUGUUUUUCUGCUGCUGCGAGGGAAACUACUGCAAUGACAAGUUCACUCACCUGCCGGAGGCCAUCGCACCUGCAGUGAAGAUCCGCCCUCCCCCGCCCCCUCCCUCGGUGCUGAGUGUGCUGGUGUACUCCCUGCUGCCGUUGUGUCUGCUCUGCCUGCUGCUGCUGCUGGGGGGGUGGCUGUACCGCCAGCGCAAGCCCCCCUACGGACACGUGGACCUCAGCGAGGAUCCUGGUCCCCAGUCUACCUCACCGCUUGACAGCCUGAAGCCACUGCAGUUGUUAGAGGUCAAAGCCAGGGGGCGCUUUGGCUGUGUAUGGAAGGCCCAGCUCAUGAACGAGCAUGUGGCCGUCAAAAUUUUCCCCAUUCAGGAUAAGCAGUCAUGGCAGAACGAGCGGGACAUCUUCUUGACCCCUGGCAUGGGCCAUGAGAACCUGCUUCACUUCAUCGCUGCGGAGAAGCGCGGAACCAACCUGCAGAUGGAACUCUGGCUCAUCACUGAGUUCCACGAAAGGGGCUCUCUGAUGGACUAUCUGAAGGGGAAUGCAGUGAGCUGGCCGGAUCUAUGUUUGAUCUUAGAGAGCAUGUGCAAAGGCUUGGCCUACCUACACGAGGACAUGCCCUACAGACAGGAUGAGCCCAAACCAGCUAUAGCACACAGGGACUUCAAGAGCAAGAAUGUGCUGCUGAAGACUGACCUCACAGCAGUGAUUGCUGACUUUGGACUCGCCGUCCGCUUUGAGCCGGGGAAACCACCUGGAGACACGCAUGGACAGGUGGGCACGAGGCGCUACAUGGCUCCUGAGGUGUUGGAGGGGGCCAUUAACUUCCAGAGGGACGCCUUCCUGCGCAUCGACAUGUACGCCCUGGGCCUGGUGAUCUGGGAGGUCAUCUCGCGCUGCACCGCCACUGACGGCCCUGUGGAGGAGUAUGCGCUGCCGUUUGAGGAGCACCUGGGGCAGCACCCGUCUCUGGAAGACCUGCAGGAGGUGGUGGUGCAUAAGAAGCUGAGGCCCCUCUUCAGGGACUGCUGGCUCAAACACCAGGGCCUGGCGCAGCUGUGUGAGACGGUGGAGGAGUGCUGGGACCACGAUGCGGAAGCGCGGCUCUCAGCCGGUUGCGUGGAGGAGCGCAUCGCCCAGGUUGCCCGUGCAACAGGCAGCAACACCACCACCUCCGACUACCUGCUCUCCGUUGUCACCUCCAUGGCCAACCUGGACAUUCCGCUCAAAGAGGCCAGCACCUGAAAGGACGAGCGCUCACCUGACCUGAAGAUGCAGAGUGAGGGAGAGAGAGGCAGGGCUGUCGUCUGUUCCCAUCUCAGUGAAAAUUCUCCCCUUUUUAUUUUUGGAAGAAAAUGGCUGCUAUUUUACCUCACAGUUUUCAGGUUUUGAUUUUUUUUUUUUUUGUCUCAUGUUUUGUUUUUUCUUUGUGUGCUGGAUGCAACUCAGGCUCACUACACCACAGAGAGGGAGAGACUCACCUAUUACCUCAUCUUUCUCCUGUCAUCCUCAGCUCUUUGUGACCAUCCUGUGACUCUGCUGGGGAUCAGAGAACAAGCGAGAGAGAGAGAGCGAGAUUCGAAUACAUUACCUCAACUUUCUUUCACCACAUUUUUUUUCCCUGGAUGACCAUUUUUUGACUUUUUUUACCUCCGAAAGAUUACCUCUUGUUUUUCAUCCUCUCUUGCGGGUUGACCAUGUUGCGAGUGUGACGUCAGUGCUGAAGAGAGCGCGAAAGAUGGACUGCAACACACAAUACCUCAUAACUGUCAUCUUUCUGUGACCGAGCAGAAAGGCUGAGAAAGGGACUCAAACUAAUGUGUUACCUCAUGUUCCCAAAUUUUUUUUUUUCUCUCUCUCUCUUUUUGUCUCUAUCCAGUGAUGCUGUGAUGUCGUUUUUGUUGGUAUUGAUAGUUUUGACGGGUGUACCUCCACUCCUGCCGUAUUGCUGUCUGCACAGACGCUCCAAAUAUUACCAUGACGUUUGUGGCGUUCUAGAUGAUUAGAGAAGACUGUUACCCAUAAUGCAUUGUGACCACCCCCUUUCCUCCUUUCGUUCUUUCUCUCUUUCUCUUGCCCAAUCAGCUCUCUUUUCUUUUGUCAGGGAUAAUUUGAGCUGUGUUACAUAUUCAGGUCCUUUUUUAAUUCUUUCAUGAAAGGUUCACUCCUCAGACUCUGCCUCUUCUGUCGGCACCACUGCAGACCGAGUCUUAAUUUGCCUCGUUUCGAGUGUGGUAAUUGCUUAACGACUCGUGCAGGAGAAGACUCCUGGGGUGAGCAGGUCUAGGAGGGGAAUGUGUUCCAUGAGUUACUGGACUUAUGGAGGCCUCUCAAUGGCACAAUGUUGAAAGGCUUGGCCCUACAGGCCACAGCACUGGACUGCAGCUGAUUGGGUGGAGGACUGGAGGGGGAGGGGCUGGUAGAGGAGACCGGCCCAAUCAGGCACAUGAAGGGGAGGGGCUGGGCAGGGAUAAGUGGUCAGGGUCUAAACAAAUCUCAGGUCUCCCUCAGAUGUCAUGGUUCCUCUGCACAUACAGAGGUGUGUGUGUGUGUGUGUGUGUGUUUGUGUUUCCAGAACUACUCGUCUGCUAUCAGCAAUACAGCAUUGACCUACCCCAUACGUAAGGCUUACAUAAAUAUACAUACACUGAAACGUUGUUUGUCUGGCCACAGUGCUCCCGCUGACGAUCUCGCCUCAUGGAGUCUCCCCCCUAGCAGGCAGCUUUUUUACUCUGACGGUACCUCAGACGUUGAAAUCAAAUAUCACUUUUCUACUGUGUUUUCCUCUGUAUGUGUGUGUGUGUGUGUGUUUAAACAGUAGUGCAUGAUAGGAUUUUUAUCACACAAGACCUAGAUUUUGUUAGGUCUGGGAAAGGUCAAUGAUUCAUUUUAUCUCUGUGUGUGGUGUGAAAACAGCCCCAAAGCUUGCGGGGCAGUGUGCUUCGGCACAUCUUCUCUCAGGACUCAAACGGAAUGCCUCUUUACAGGCUGGGGGCUUCCUGCCUCAGGCGUACGGUCAUCUCCCAGCAAAGGGACAGACUCCUAAGAGAAAUACGCUAUCAGUACACACCCUCUCUUUUAAUGACCCUUUAGUUGCUGUUGUUGUGUUUUUUUUUUUGUGUUUUUCUCUUUCUAUAUAAUGGUUGGAGUUGUGCAUUAAUUGUUUCUGUUUUGACUUUUUGAGAUCAUUCCUUGCUACAGUGGAUGCUUUUGCACAGGUACUCAUUUCAGUGUCAAGGUUUAUUUAAAAAGAUAAGAUUGUCUCCUACCUCAUCUGGCAUUCAGUAAGAACAGGGUACCGCUAGGCUCAGCUACAGGCUGCAGAUAGCAGACGUUAUCAGAGGCUGCGUAGAGGGUCAUAAUGACAUGGCACGUGACCGAUAUGAGUAUUUACCCAUGUAAUAAGUGAAUAUCUGGUUCCGGCUGUGGGGAUGUUAGGACUGUAAAUUAUGAGUGUGUGGGGAGCUCCCGUGGAUCAUGAUUGUGUGGGGACCUCCGGGGGUCCGUCACCGGCUCAGUGCUCCUGCCAGCAGCCAAAGAUGGUCCACAUGCAGAAGCAGCACCAGGGAGAAAAGGCCUUCGCUCCAGAAGCCGGGCCAAAAACACUCCAGGCCGUCUGCAGCUCUGUGGGGGUGUUAGACUGCCAGAACCAGCUUCUGUGUAACCAUUAGGCUGGUGAUUGUCCAGCAGGGGGUCAGAUUGGACUGACCGUCCAGGUGUAAUGUGUGUGUUUGUGUAACUGGGAUACUGUUAGCCCAGUGAUGGGCCAAAACUAGCUCACAGUCCGGCAGCUGUGUGUGUGUGUGUGUGUGUUAAGCACAAGAGACUGCUGUGCCACUGGUUUUUUGUCCACGUACCCUCCUUCACUACUCCUUUGCUGAUCUACUUUAUCAUGGUUCGGAAAGCUGUGUGAUCUGCAGACUCUGUGCUUACUAUCCUGAGUUAUGAGUGCAUUUGCCAUCUUAACAUAUUUAUUUUAAUGUUUGCUUUUGAUCUGGUACCCUUCAUCUCCCCCAGGAUAAGGAGUGACUGGUGACUUACUACAGUGUGGGCUUGGUGUGUCCUCUAAGGCAAUGUACGAUUUCCUCCUCAAAAAAAAAAAGCGUCUGAGGUUUCCAAAGUAGAAUUGUUCCGAUCCCUGGUUUCACUAAGCAUUCAUGGAUAGAAUCGGAACUGCCUGCUGGUUGCUCAUGUGUUGUGGGCAGCUGGAUGCUCUGUUUAUUCCAAAGACUGUCCCCUGGGCAGUGGAACUGGAGCUCUUGGAGAACAUGGGUCCUCUUCAGACAUUUCUAAUCUGUGUGUGCGUGUGCGUGCUUUCUGUCCAUACUGACUGACUGGCUUGGUUGGCCUGUUUUCUUUUUGGCAAGGCACAUUUGUGCCCUUAAGCUGUCAUGGGGUGUGCGUUCUCUCCAGAAGUGAGCUGAAGUUUUACUCAGGUUUGGGGUGUGUGUUCUCUCCAGAAGUGAGCUGAAGUUUUACUCAGGUUUGGGGCUUUGAGCUGUUUUCAGAGCUGGUUCUGGGAGGGGAGCUGUGCCACAAGGGGAGGGGGAAUGAUAAGGCGUUGUAAUGUAGUGGCCCAGUAAGCAUGUAUUACAGCCUGACAAACGGCACUGCUUUUGGUACUCCUAGUGUUGUCAGUUCGCUCAUACCCAAAUGGACAUUGCAAUAUAUGCUAUGCUGGCAUCCACAACACUACUUCCUUCGUACGGGUUUUAGUCGUUUACGUUGAUAUGUGUUUAUUGUUUGUUUGUUUAUUUGUUUAUUUGUUUGUGUUUCUUUGUUCCCACAUAACCAAUGACCUCAGGCAGUCCCUUAUGAUUUGUGGUGACUGUUUUUUCUUGACUGAAAGCUAAUGUUCUACUUGUUUAUUUGUAUUGAUGUUGUUAUUUUUUACUCAUGUCAUCUCUUAAUGAAUUUAUACCUAAAUAUCCAUUAACAAUGUGAAUCCCCUGCCUGGUCCCUACCUCUUUCCAUAAAGGUGAACACUAAGGAUUAUGCUGGUAGUUUAGUCUCCAGUAGAGGGCAGUGUAAGAACUCUAUCGCUGUUCUCACAGUGUAUGAAAUGAAUCGUUUGGUACUGGCUGGAAUGAGGCAAGAAUGCUCAGAUUCAACAUGUGGAGACUUUGACGUCAUGGAUUCCUUCUAAACUGUUGUGACAUAUUGAAUUUGUUUAAGAUUUUAUUGAACACACUUUUAAGUUGAUGGUCUGCCCUUGGGACUUUUAUAAUACAGUUAAUACAGUGACCAUAAUGAAGCUUUACUUUAAAUGUAAGCAUUAGAGGGUUUUAUUUUUUAUUAUUAGAUUAUUUCCUGAUGAAUUUGAACUGCUGCAGUGACUUGCAUCUGACCCAUCUUAUAAGUGAUCUCAGGUGGAUUUGAAGUAUUUUUAAAACACUGAAAAUGUCAAAGGCACAAGCACACUUGGCUGUGCAGUCUCACACACCAUAGGAAGUGACCUCAGCGUGUUGUGUGCAACUUCACCUCCAUUCUGCUCUGAACCCCUGGUGUCCCUAGCUACCUCAGCUUCCUGUGUGGGCAUUGUAUCUGCACUCACACCUGUUUUAGAGCUCACUCAGUUCAACUCCAUGCGCUCUGGAGUCCACAUUUAGUCAGUAUUGAGCCCACUGAGGGGAAGCGCUGGCAGUCGAGUCAGACAUCAGUGUACAGAGUCCUGGUCAAAGUAGGUCUGUCUCUGUCUGGCUAUCUGUCUGUCUUGUUUGUUUGUUUGUCUGUUUGUUUGUUUUUCCUCAGGGUGUUAGAAUGUCCUGGGAAUUAUCUCAACUUCAUCAGGAUUGGCCAGACAAGUUCGGUUCUCCCUCUUGGAGUUUGUUUCUUAGUAUCGGAGUGUUACAUAAGGAGCGAUUAUAACUAAUAUGUGGGAAAUGUAGUAGAACAGUGGUUUUGCAUUUGAAUGCAUUUUACUAUUAUUAUGCUACAUAACGAGUAUUAUAUUCUGUGAAUAGUGUUUAAAAAAAAAAAAAGGGCAGAAAUGGAGAUUUCAUGUUUUGAUGCCAUCACUGAGAAGCUUUGAUAUCGGUGUUAAUCCGAGAUGGGAUGUGACGUUGGAUUGGACGUGGUACCGGUGUGGCCCGGACUAGCCUCACUGCCCUGUUCUCACAUGCUUUAGAACCUGCUAAUGAUGUCACCUGUAGAUUGGGCAGGAACAUGGUUUUGUUGUAACCUUGGAAAACGUAUAAAUUGCCUAAUGAUCAUUUUAACUGUGGUAGUUAGCAGUGAUCAAUGUAUCCUUGUGAUAAAGACUGGAUUCAUGGAUGGAUAUCACUUUGUUUUAUUAUUAUUGUUAUUCAUAUUAUUUUGAACUAUUUUUGUGGCCAGAUAAUGGAAAGAUGGCGCCUGUUUUAAGUCUGUGGCAGGGUUUUGCCACUGUUAAGACAAACUCAAUGAAUGUAGUCUUCUUACCUUAUGGACGCUCAUGAAUUAUUGUGUUUUUCCCCCAAGUACUCAAGUUUGUUUUGUAUUGUAAUAAUAAACCUACUAUUUGACUGUUAAA